rnacentral:rRNA from 1 species
AAUGAACGCUGGCGGCAUGCCUAACACAUGCAAGUCGAACGGCAGCACGGGAGCAAUCCUGGUGGCGAGUGGCGAACGGGUGAGUAAAGUAUCGGAACGUGCCCAGUCGUGGGGGAUAACGUAGCGAAAGUUACGCUAAUACCGCAUACGAUCUAUGGAUGAAAGCGGGGGAUCGCAAGACCUCGCGCGAUUGGAGCGGCCGAUAUCAGAUUAGGUAGUUGGGGGGGUAAAGGCUCACCAAGCCGACGAUCUGUAGCUGGUCUGAGAGGACGACCAGCCAAACUGGGACUGAGACACGGCCCAGACUCCUACGGGAGGCAGCAGUGGGGAAUUUUGGACAAUGGGCGCAAGCCUGAUCCAGCCAUGCCGCGUGCAGGAUGAAGGCUUUCGGGUUGUAAACUGUUUUUGUACGGAACGAAAAGGUUUGGCCUAAUACGCUGAACUCAUGACGGUACCGUAAGAAUAAGCACCGGCUAACUACGUGCCAGCCGCCGCCGUAA